UUUAGUGGCGGACGGGUGAGUAACACGUGAGCAACCUGCCUUCGAGAGGGGAAUAACGGCUGGAAACGGUCGCUAAUACCGCAUAACAUACAGGAGGGACAUCCCUUUUGUAUCAAAGAUUUAUCGCUCGAAGAUGGGCUCGCGUCCGAUUAGGUAGUUGGUGAGGUAACGGCCCACCAAGCCGACGAUCGGUAGCCGGACUGAGAGGUUGAACGGCCACAUUGGGACUGAGACACGGCCCAGACUCCUACGGAAGGCAGCAG
rnacentral:rRNA from 1 species